AGAGUUUGAUCAUGGCUCAGAACGAACGUUGGCGGCGUGGCUUAGGCAUGCAAGUCGAACGAGAAAGUUCCUUUCGGGGAGCGAGUAUAGUGGCAAAAGGGUGAGUAAUGAUUAGUUAACCUACCCCUAAAACUGGGAUAACUACCCGAAAGGGUUGCUAAUACCGGAUGGUCUAUGAGAAAUGCAUAUUUUUUAUAGUAAAGGCGCUCGCAAGGGUGUCGAUUAGGGAGGGGAUUAAUUCCUAUUAGCUAGUUGGUGAGGUAAUGGCUCUACCAAGGCAUUGAUGGGUAACCGAUCUGAGAGGAUGACCGGUCACACUGGGACUGAGACACUGCCCAGACUCCUACGGGAGGCUGCAGUCGCGAAUAUUCCGCAAUGGACGCAAGUCUGACGGAGCGACGCCGCGUGUGGGAUGAAGGCCUUAGGGUUGUAAACCACUGUCACACUUUAAGAAAUCAAUUAGGGUAACUCCUAGUUGUUGACAAAGGAGUGGAAGGAAGUCACGGCUAACUACGUGCCAGCAGCCGCGGUAAUACGUAGGUGGCAAACGUUGUUCGGAAUUACUGGGCAUAAAGAGUUUGUAGGCGGUUUGAUAAGUCAGGUGUGAAAUCCCGGGGCUCAACUUCGGAAUGGCAUUUGAUACUGUUAGACUAGAAUAACGGAGAGGUGAGUAGAAUUCAUGGUGUAGCGGUGAAAUGCGUUGAUAUCAUGGAGAAUACCAAUGGCGAAGGCAGCUCACUGGCCGAUUAUUGACGCUGAGAAACGAAAGCUAGGGUAGCGAAAGGGAUUAGAUACCCCUGUAGUCCUAGCCCUAAACGAUGUACAUUGUAUGGUGGGAAUCUUGCAUUUUCACUGUAGCAGCUAAUGCGUUAAAUGUACCGCCUGGGGAGUAUGGUCGCAAGGCUAAAACUCAAAGGAAUUGACGGGGGCUCACACAAGCGGUGGAGCAUGUUGUUUAAUUCGAAGAUACGCGAAGAACCUUACCCAGACUUGACAUGUACGGAUUAGAUUACAGAAAUGUAGUUGACACUCAUUCUGAGUGGAACGUACACAGGUGUUGCAUGGCUGUCGUCAGCUCGUGUCGUGAGAUGUGAGGUUAAGUCCUUUAAUGAGCGCAACCCCUAUCUUCUGUUACCAUCGCGUCCUGGCGGGGACUCUGGAGAGACUGCCGGUGUUAACCGGAGAAAGCGGGGAACGACGUCAAGUCAUCAUGGCCCUUAUGU
rnacentral:rRNA from 1 species